AGAACAUCGAUGUGGAGCUUCCUUCUGUGGUUCGAGAUGCGUCCUGAACAUUCCAGGACUCUUUGAUGCCAAACAGAACAUUCUGCAAAUUUUUGCGCUGUAACCCGUGACGGUUUUGGGGUUGGUGGUCUUGUUGUGCUGCCGCUGGCUGUCUGGCCAGACCGUAUGUAUGGAUUUACAGCGUUGUUGAUUUGAGAUCAGAUUGCCAUCUGUCUGAGGCCACAGAAUGCCUAAGAGCCACCAGUAAAUGGAGACAGCAUGGACCUCUAGAUUUUCCUUACCUGACAUAGGGAACAGCUCAUUCCUAGAGAAAAGAAUGUAACUGCAAACUGGCAGUAAAAGACCUGGACGCACUGUUUUAUGAAAGAGUGAACGUACUAUUUUACAAAGUAUUUGCUUGCCUGUUCAAAUGGAAGUCAUAAACGAAGCUUUUCCCUCCCACGUCAUGAGAGAUGACAUUUUUGCUGUGAUAUUGAUGAGAAUGAGGGUGUGGGCUACAGCUUAACCCCUGUUUGGCUGUCAGAUUUAAUAAAACAACACUUCCUGAGUUACAGACGCCUCUGUGAUGACUGUUUUCCUCCAGGCAAUGGUUUAUAGGAUCUAUGGAAAUUGAUGAAUAUUGUGGUCGGACUAUUUAUAUCAGGGAGUUGAGUUUUUAGGUAUGAUUCACUGCUUACAUAGCCCGGACGAUUUUUCUUCUAGACCGUUAUUUAUUCAGGAAAGGUUUGGUGAGUGUGUUGUAUUCAGCAUGACUCAUGCAGUCCUACAUGGAGAAGGAUGUCUUUCUUCAACAUUGGAUUGGUCACUUUGUUUAGGAUAAUUGUCAGUUUUAUGACAGAUUUAUUGUCCCAAAAAAAAAAAAUCCUGAUCAGUAACAUGAUGAGAUCAAGAGGGUUAUGAUAAUGGGGUUUGAGACCUUCUGUUUCCUUUGGUGUGUUGCACAGGUUUUCAUGAAGAAUAAAUGCCAAGUUCCAGAGUGAAGGGACUAGUUCUGUCCCACAUAGGACCAGAACAGCUCCUGCACCAUGUGGAACAUCAUGUUUUCUCCUGUUGCAUCACAAGGGAGUUUUUUUUUCCCCUCCUGAUUGUUGGAACUUGUCACCAGCUGCAGCAGCAUACGGGUUUUUCUACGCGCACCAGUUCGACUGAACAGAAGCUAUAUCCAGCACUUUGUCGCCCAGCUCGGCACUUCUCAAGGACGUUCUAAUUGUGUAUUCCACCCAUCGCCAUCUGUGCUUCAUUGAGUAGCUCCGACUAUCGCAGCCUUCCUAAGGAUAUCACAGAUUUGGUUACUGCACAAGCACCACCACUCCCUUAGCUGGAGAUUUACUGACCGUCCCACAAGGCCUCACUCCACACUCAGCUCACUGGAGUUUAGAUAAUGCCUCAGAAAAAUACUUCCCUCCACAUUCCUUUGAAGUGUUUGUUCAAAAAGAACACCCUCUUAUGCUUCCAAACAAGUUACGAGAAGAGCAAAAUCUCACCAAAUUGUUUUAUGUUCUGCAAAAAAGUCAUCCUUUUCCCUUGGCCACAAAGGAAAGGAGGUAAUAGUUUGCACUAAUUUGGCCCUGGGCUUUGCAGCUGAAGCCAAAUGCCAAAGUGAAUCUGUAAAGCUAACAUUAGGCAGCAGAUAUCUGAGGCCAGUGGCUGUGGGCUUUGACAUCCUGUAUUACACCUAAUUGCCACCAGACAUUACAGCCAAGCCUCUGCAAAAUCCCCCACAACCACCUGCUCCUCAUUCUGUUUACCUUUCAAAACCCAGAAUAAUGCCGGGGAGAGCGCGGCCUAAACUGUUAUUUUCUGACACCCGAGCUGAGGACUUGGGAACUGGAAUGUCAGUAGACAUUUGAAUUUGAGACGUGUUAGAACGGUUAAGGGGUAUCCCCCGGCUCAUUGUGUCGCGGGGAUUCUGUGUAUACUUCUCUGUUUUAUGUGUUUUUGUAAGAAUAAUGAGGGAGGGAGAAAACAAGGCAGGGGGAAUGCGGAGGCAUAAUGAGGAGAAGUCUCAAUAUCAUUUUCAUGACACAGGGAAACUUUCAAUGAGUCCGAUAAUAACCCAACACACACACACACACACACACACACACACACACACACUCAAGGCUGCAGAAUCAUUGUGGCAAGUCUAGAUAUUUUGAGUCAUUUUGUACAUUGCGGAUAAAUACCAGUUUUCGUUUUUGUUCCCUUGGAACUCCUCCGCGCUGACAUGAAAGAGACAGGAAAAUUCCACACCCUUGACAGUGUAAUGCUGAAAUGAUUUCAUAGUGCCGUAUCCUCUGACACCACCACGUCAGCCUCUAAAUAAGUCAUGCAUCACUCAGAGUUCUUGACAAAUAAAGCUGCCUGUGAGGCUUGAGCAACACAACGUGGAAAUGUUGGUGGCGAAGCAGGUUUGCAGACUCCAUGACUCCAGGUUGGAAGGAAACCAUAAAGUUUUGCUUCAAAUUUCAUUCAAUUUCUCUGUCUGGUUCUCCCGGACAUGGAACUCCACAUCCAGGAGGUGACAUAAAGCAUUGCAUUUAGUUGUUGGGAUGUGUGAGUAAAAGAGGCAGCUGCUAAAUAAAAAGAAAAUGCAAUUAAUUAAUAAUCAUUGUUGUCUUAUUCGUAUCUCCUAAAUUUAAAGGCACCAUGGGCAAAAUUAUUUUGUAAACCUUUACGCUGCUGUCAAUUAUUUACAGAGUUCUAUAAAUAUCACCAGCACCAGCAAGAUGUUUGUGUUUGUAACAAUAUGAGUAAAACCAUUUCCCUGAGAGGGACUGGGCGCUCUACCACUCUGGAGUUGUCCCCACUGAGAGGU